AUUGAACGCUGGCGGCAGGCCUAACACAUGCAAGUCGAACGAGUGGCGGACGGGUGAGUAAUGUCUGGGAAACUGCCUGAGGGAGGGGGAUAAAUACUGGAAACGGUAGAUAAUACCGCAUACCAUCAGAUGUGCCCAGAUGGGAUUAGCUUGUUGGGGGGGUAACGGCUCACCAAGGCGCAGAUCCCUAGCUGGGCUGAGAGGAUGACCAGCCACCCUGGAACUUAGACACGGUCCAGAUUCCUACGGCAGGCAGCAGUGGGAAUAUUGCACAAUGGGCGCAAGCCUGAUGCCGCCAUGCCGCGUGUAUGAAGAAGGCCUUCGGGUUGUAAAGUACUUUCAGCGGGGAGGCGUUACCCACAGAAGAAGCACCUGCUAACUCCGUGCCAGCAGCCGCGGUAAUUC
rnacentral:rRNA from 1 species